rnacentral:lncRNA from 1 species
GGGCGACGGAUGGAGGCGCCGGCGCCGGUCUUGGGUGGAGAGCGCCGGCGUCCAAGCUGGGUAGAGGCGGCGGGGGCUACGAGCGGAUGGAGUUAUGCUGUGACCUGCGAAGGAGAGGAUAGUUUCGUCCGUAUUUUAACAAUAAUACAUAUAAUGUAUUUACUUCAUACUAAUACUAGUAUUGAAUGGAAUCUAUUUUAGAGGUAGUUCUUGGUUUAAGAGUGACAUUUCAGUUGAACGAAUACACAUAUUAAAGAUGGCAUAAUAGCAAUUUUCUCAUCAUAUGACUGGUCCAUACGCACUUGCCGUUUAAAUCGUACACGGAUCAGUGGGAUCACGCGAAGCAUUUUUCUAAAAUAUGUCCGGUCUGAAAUGUAU